ensembl:lncRNA
GGCCGGACCCCGCGAAGCGCCGCUGUGUGCCCGCAGCGCCCCGUCCUCCGCGGCUCCGUCCGUCCCCGACUGCCGUGCGGGGCCGGCGGGGAGAGAGGAACGUACGGGUGCGAACGGCUGCGGGGCAGGGCGAGGGAGAGGGGUGGGCGAAUGGGAAAGAGACGGGAGGGAAACGUCUCUCAAGCGAACGGGCUGGAGGAGAAAUCCGCGGCGCUUGGCUCGGGGGGAGAGGAAAAGCGGAGAAACGGCAAACGGCGUGUGCUGCAGUCGCCAGAGGAGUGAUGGGGGCUUUCAAGGGUGUGUGAUGGGGGUGCCACCACAGCCACGCAGCUGCCAGAGGGCAGUGGAAACGUGGAGGAGGAAAAUUAAGCUGUGAACUGGAAUUCCAUCAGGCUGUCUGCCGUGAAGCCCUGCGGCUUUAGCAAACAGGCAGCAGUGGUCAGAAAUGACACUCAAAAGAACUGUCUGCAUUAAUAACAAGUACCUCCACUUGGAAAUUAUUUACAUGAAACAUUGUUCUCACAUCACUGCUACUGACAGCGGCUCCGGACUGGGUGAGAGAAGGACACCGUGAUGAAUUUACCCAUACCUACCUUACUGUGCUGCGUGAGACGAGGAGAGCUCAAAGACUUCAGAGAAGUUUGAAACCUUAAUCCCUGAAUAAUGCCUCCACCUGCCUCCUGGUUUUCUUUGGGGACUUUCCAGCGCUGGCCAGUCCUGACCCUAUCUGACUUCAGGGACAAUCCCAGUGUCUUGGGCUCCGAAAAAAGAGUGAAACAGUGACUGGAAAUGGUGCAGAGCUCAAGGGAGAAGAAUCUCCAGGAACAGAGCUGGAGAGAGCAGAAGCAGUAAAUAGUUGUUUUUGUCACUUGAGUCAGCACAUAUAAUUCUUCACACACACAGGAACUAUCUUCGCCGUGGAAGAAAAUACCAUUUGCACAAUAACUUUUCACAGUGGAACUGUGCCUUGAAUCAAACAAGCAAGUACUGAGUCACCUCUGCAGCACAGCAACAACAAUUUGAUCUGCUACGUGGCAAGCUUUGGUUUGAAGAUACUAAACAAUUCCUCAUCCCAGGCCUGGGGCUUGUAAGUAUGAUAGAAGAUGAUGCAAUGCAUCCAGGCUCUGGGGAGUAAAGGAACAGUCAUGCUACUCCUGAGAAACCCUUUGUGCACAAAAAUUUAUUGUGCGCCUCCAGGUACAAAGGCUACAGGAUGAAAUGCAACUCAAUAAAGACAAGCCAAGGUGUAUCAGGAGAGCUAAUGAACACUUCAGUAUUUGCACUUAGUCAGAUAAAGGAGCGUGUUGCAGUUGAGAAAGGAGAGAGUAAUCACAUGAGUAUCAUUUCUGUGGUAACAAAUGCUCUCACAGUUUUUGAGCCUCGUGCUUUGUUUUUGUAUGGUGCAAAGAUAAUCCCACUAAGGAAAUCUAAUCAGUUCUCCCACCUUUACAUUUUCCUUGUUUACUUCUUUUAUUUUGAUUUUUUAGAGGAGUUGCAUUUAGUCUGAUGGUCACCUGUCUUUUAAACAGCUCUAUUUUCCAUGUGUACAGCCCUUAGUCAUGCAGACCCUUUGAGUCCCACUCUAGAAAAUGGUAAGAAAGUCCACUGAGAUGCACAGUGAUUUUAUAAUUUAUGUGUUCUGCUUGAUUUCCAUGCUCCAGUGCAGCUGAUGAGACAUACGAAAGACACAGCUAAAAUCUUACUGCCCACAGACAGAAUAUCAACAUGAGCACCAGGAGUUCAUAACACCUAUGGAAAGCAGCGCUGCAUACGUGCAAAAAGAUAUGAGAGAAUAAUUUCAAGAAAUGCCCUUACAGCACCCAGUCAGCUUCCAAAAGGAUUAUUCAUUAUAAAACAUUCUGGCUUGAUAAUGAAUUCUGAUAGAGGACAUGAUGUUAAUUCAGCUAUUCCUUCUUGGUUCUCCUCUUGGAUUUAAAUAUAUAUUUAUAUAUUUAUAUAUAUUUUAGCCUCUGAAUACUUCUAUGAUCUGAUUUCUUACACCCUGCAGGGGACAGCAUUGGGUAAAGAAAAGUAGAAAUCAUUUGAUAAAAAAGCAUUUGCUUUCAAUUAUCAGAUUGUACUUUCUUAAUUGAGACACAAAAAGUAUUCUCCUUUUAGGUUGAUGCAAAUCCUCUCUCUCUCUCCACCCUUAAACUGCUCUGAAUUAUUAAUCAUAAUUUCUUCAGCUACAGAGUUCGUUCAAUCAAUAGUGAGAAAGAUUCCCAACCAUUUGCAGCCACCAGUGUUAAAGAAGGCAACAGAAACGCUGUACAGAACUGCUGUAACUUAGGACUUCCUUCCUAGGCAGACCAUGUAAUGCUGUUUUUCAGCAGCAACGGCGAAUCCUCUGCGAUAACAGAGGUGUCAGCAUGCAGGUGAAAAAUACUGUUUUUCUACUCUCUCAUUAAAAUACGUAUGUGUACGGGCACACACAAAUUGGGACUGUAAACAUGCGUGUAAAUGCAAGCCAAAGUGUUUGCCUUUUAUUUUUCUUAGCCACUGUCACAAAAUCAAGGUGCUUUACUCCUCCUGCAAAUAAGGGCUGUGUUUAGAAGCGAUACUGCAAAAGGUAUAUGGUAGCCUUGUUUGUUUUGGACAGAUGCAAAGAAGAAUCUCUGAACUUCUGCCAGUGAUCAAAGGAACUGAUGAUGUAGAACAGAUUCAUGGGCCAUGUCCUAUCAGCCUGCACUUUACCCAUCAUCCAUCAUCCAAACCCUAAGCCUUUUUCUGAGUGAUGAUUGCACCCUAAACACAUAAAAUUAAUCACCACUUCAGCCUGGCCAGGUGUCUUGCCUCCAGAAAUUAUCUCACUGCAGCAAAAGAACUGCUAGAAUCUGAUAUCUGCACUGUAAUUUAAUUUAAAGAAUACUGCAUAGUAACACUAAGAUUGAUUUACAUAUCUGAAAAGUUUCUUGUUUCCCAAAGCCAAUAUAAAUUCUUAGAGAAAUAUGUAACUGGAAAAAAAAACUGGUUGAUCAUAAACUUGGGGCAUUUGAAUAUUUAUUAGUUUCUGGAAUUCUCUGAUGAUGUUUUCUACCCCAGUCGUAGCUCAACGCAGGUCUUAAAAUGCAGUUCGCAAAACCAGAAAGGCCAGGUAUGCGAACAGUCUGUGUUUGCUCCUGGAUAUGUACCUCGGUGGAGCACUGGCUGUGGUGUGGGGGACGGCAGUUUGCAUAACAUCGCCUGCUCUCAAUUUCAAGGAGCUCCUCAUUUUUAUUUUCAGAUAUUUCUUCUUUUCUUCAUUAGAAAAGGGAAGAGAAAUUAAGCGGCAGGUUAUUAAACUAUUCCUUGCACCUAUGCUUUGGAAAUGACAAUAGAGCUAUCACAACUAAAUGUGACAGUGGCUAGUAAAUUAGCUCAAAUGUAGACUAGAUUUGUAAGAAAUGCAGGUCCUGCUGCAUUUCAGCUGCUCAGCUUCGCUUCUCACACAGAACACACACAGCAUCUCUGUGUUUUAUAGAAAUAAUAGCAAUUAUAAGUACAAAUGUGAAAAUAAUCCCCACCUAAUGAUAAAUGGAAAUAACAGGCUAAUUCCAGUAUGCAUAUUAAUGAGGAGAGACGAGUCAGCUCUCUGCUAUAAAUAUGAGGCCUAACUCGCAGACAAAUUCUGCUAGUGUUCUGCUUCACUUCUAGAUUAACUGCAAAUCCUAAUAAUUUGCUUUUAAUUGGGAGCUUAGCUCUGAUAUUAAAUUAUCAUAGGAAAGCAAAUGUGGCCAAAAGAUGUAUUAUUAAAAUAAAAACUAUCACAAUAUCCUGGUUUAAAAAAAUCUUAUUUGCUGUAAAAACAAAAAAGAAAAAGCAUCUGAGAAAUAAAUAUUAAUUAGUAGAAAAAAAUAAAUUGGACACUAAAGUACUGUAAUUCAAACACCACUAUUACUGCAUGUUGGCUGUGAUGCUCUACAUGCCGUGGCUUCCCCGACAGUGAGCUCUGCAAAUUCAGCUUUUUCUUUUCCUUCUAUAUUUUGUUAUAAAUGUACGUCUCACUCUCUUGUUGUCUAUAAUAAAUGCUCUCACGCAGAAUACAUUGCAAAACAAAAGGAUAUAGAGCAUUUUUGUGGUCUGCUGCUUCAAUAUUCACAUACUUUCCUGCCUUCCAUGUUCAGUGCCCUUCAGAAAACCAGGAGGUGCAUUAAGCAUGUAAAAUCACGUAUGUUUGUCACCUACAUUGUGAAAGUCAAUCUCCACAAUGCAGAAUUACAUAAAGAUUUAUGUGCAGUCGCAUAAUCCCCAUGAAAAUCAACUUGUUUUGGUACACAAAUGAAGCAGCCUCCAAAAAACAGCCUGACAUUUCUAACCAGUACUUAAAAAACAACAGUGAUAAAAACAAAACAAAGAAGAUGGGGAAAAGGGAAAAUAAUUAAAUCCUAAAUAAAACAAACACCAAAAAGUGGAAGGACAAUCAGUUUCAGAUUUAGAGGAAUUAGAAAGAGCAAGAAAGAUAAACUUAAUAGGCGCCCUAAUCUCUCUUGCACGGAGCAAUCCUACAGUACCGUGUGUACAAACUGCAUGUUGAAAUAAAUCAGAAAUAGUUUUCUUCUUGUUUUUUUUUUUUUUUU